rnacentral:rRNA from 1 species
UACGUAGGGUGCGAGCGUUGUCCGGAAUUAUUGGGCGUAAAGGGCUCGUAGGCGGUUUGUCGCGUCGGGAGUGAAAACCAGGUGCUUAACACCUGGCUUGCUUUCGAUACGGGCAGACUAGAGGUAUGCAGGGGAGAACGGAAUUCCUGGCGUAGCGGUGAAAUGCGCAGAUAUCAGGAGGAACACCGGUGGCGAAGGCGUACUACCU